rnacentral:rRNA from 1 species
GUGCUGUGAGCUCGAUGAGUAGGGCGGGACACGUGGUAUCCUGUCUGAAUAUGGGGGGACCAUCCUCCAAGGCUAAAUACUCCUGACUGACCGAUAGUGAACCAGUACCGUGAGGGAAAGGCGAAAAGAACCCCGGCGAGGGGAGUGAAAAAGAACCUGAAACCGUGUACGUACAAGCAGUGGGAGCACCCUUUGGGGUGUGACUGCGUACCUUUUGUAUAAUGGGUCAGCGACUUAUAUUCUGUAGCAAGGUUAACCGAAUAGGGGAGCCGGAGGGAAACCGAGUCUUAAUUGGGCGUUAAGUUGCAGGGUAUAGACCCGAAACCCGGUGAUCUAGCCAUGGGCAGGUUGAAGGUUGGGUAACACUAACUGGAGGACCGAACCGACUAAUGUUGAAAAAUUAGCGGAUGACCUGUGGCUGGGGGUGAAAGGCCAAUCAAACCGGGAGAUAGCUGGUUCUCCCCGAAAGCUAUUUAGGUAGCGCCUCGUGAAUUCAUCUCCGGGGGUAGAGCACUGUUUCGGCUAGGGGGCCAUCCCGGCUUACCAACCCGAUGCAAACUGCGAAUACCGGAGAAUGUUAUCACGGGAGACACACGGCGGGUGCUAACGUCCGUCGUGAAGAGGGAAACAACCCAGACCGCCAGCUAAGGUCCCAAAGUCAUGGUUAAGUGGGAAACGAUGUGGGAAGGCCCAGACAGCCAGGAUGUUGGCUUAGAAGCAGCCAUCAUUUAAAGAAAGCGUAAUAGCUCACUGGUCGAGUCGGCCUGCGCGGAAGAUGUAACGGGGCUAAACCAUGCACCGAAGCUGCGGCAGCGACGCUGAUGCGUUGUUGGGUAGGGGAGCGUUCUGUAAGCCUGCGAAGGUGGCCUGUGAGGGUUGCUGGAGGUAUCAGAAGUGCGAAUGCUGACAUAAGUAACGAUAAAGCGGGUGAAAAGCCCGCUCGCCGGAAGACCAAGGGUUCCUGUCCAACGUUAAUCGGGGCAGGGUGAGUCGACCCCUAAGGCGAGGCCGAAAGGCGUAGUCGAUGGGAAACGGGUUAAUAUUCCCGUACUUGGUGUUACUGCGAAGGGGGGACGGAGAAGGCUAUGUUGGCCGGGCGACGGUUGUCCCGGUUUAAGCGUGUAGGCUGGUUUUCCAGGCAAAUCCGGAAAAUCAAGGCUGAGGCGUGACGACGAGGCACUACGGUGCUGAAGCAACAAAUGCCCUGCUUCCAGGAAAAGCCUCUAAGCAUCAGGUAACACGAAAUCGUACCCCAAACCGACACAGGUGGUCAGGUAGAGAAUACCAAGGCGCUUGAGAGAACUCGGGUGAAGGAACUAGGCAAAAUGGUGCCGUAACUUCGGGAGAAGGCACGCUGACAUGUAGGUGAAGUGAUUUACUCAUGGAGCUGAAGUCAGUCGAAGAUACCAGCUGGCUGCAACUGUUUAUUAAAAACACAGCACUGUGCAAACACGAAAGUGGACGUAUACGGUGUGACGCCUGCCCGGUGCCGGAAGGUUAAUUGAUGGGGUCAGCGCAAGCGAAGCUCCUGAUCGAAGCCCCGGUAAACGGCGGCCGUAACUAUAACGGUCCUAAGGUAGCGAAAUUCCUUGUCGGGUAAGUUCCGACCUGCACGAAUGGCGUAAUGAUGGCCAGGCUGUCUCCACCCGAGACUCAGUGAAAUUGAACUCGCUGUGAAGAUGCAGUGUACCCGCGGCAAGACGGAAAGACCCCGUGAACCUUUACUAUAGCUUGACACUGAACAUUGAGCCUUGAUGUGUAGGAUAGGUGGGAGGCUUUGAAGUGUGGACGCCAGUCUGCAUGGAGCCGACCUUGAAAUACCACCCUUUAAUGUUUGAUGUUCUAACGUGGACCCGUGAUCCGGGUUGCGGACAGUGUCUGGUGGGUAGUUUGACUGGGGCGGUCUCCUCCUAAAGAGUAACGGAGGAGCACGAAGGUUGGCUAAUCCUGGUCGGACAUCAGGAGGUUAGUGCAAUGGCAUAAGCCAGCUUGACUGCGAGCGUGACGGCGCGAGCAGGUGCGAAAGCAGGUCAUAGUGAUCCGGUGGUUCUGAAUGGAAGGGCCAUCGCUCAACGGAUAAAAGGUACUCCGGGGAUAACAGGCUGAUACCGCCCAAGAGUUCAUAUCGACGGCGGUGUUUGGCACCUCGAUGUCGGCUCAUCACAUCCUGGGGCUGAAGUAGGUCCCAAGGGUAUGGCUGUUCGCCAUUUAAAGUGGUACGCGAGCUGGGUUUAGAACGUCGUGAGACAGUUCGGUCCCUAUCUGCCGUGGGCGCUGGAGAACUGAGGGGGGCUGCUCCUAGUACGAGAGGACCGGAGUGGACGCAUCACUGGUGUUCGGGUUGUCAUGCCAAUGGCACUGCCCGGUAGCUAAAUGCGGAAGAGAUAAGUGCUGAAAGCAUCUAAGCACGAAACUUGCCCCGA